rnacentral:rRNA from 1 species
GCAUAACGCGAAGAACCUUACCUACCCUUGACAUCCAGAGAACUUGCCAGAGAUGGCUUGGUGCCUUCGGGAACUCUGAGACAGGUGCUGCAUGGCUGUCGUCAGCUCGUGUUGUGAAAUGUUGGGUUAAGUCCCGCAACGAGCGCAACCCUUAUCCUUUGUUGCCAGCGGUUAGGCCGGGAACUCAAAGGAGACUGCCAGUGAUAAACUGGAGGAAGGUGGGGAUGACGUCAAGUCAUCAUGGCCCUUACGAGUAGGGCUACACACGUGCUACAAUGGCGCAUACAAAGAGAAGCGACCUCGCGAGAGCAAGCGGACCUCAUAAAGUGCGUCGUAGUCCGGAUUGGAGUCUGCAACUCGACUCCAUGAAGUCGGAAUCGCUAGUAAUCGUGGAUCAGAAUGCCACGGUGAAUACGUUCCCGGGUCUUGUACACACCG